rnacentral:rRNA from 1 species
ACGAACGCUGGCGGCGUGCUUAACACAUGCAAGUCGAACGGUAAGGCCCCAGCUUGCUGGGGUACACGAGUGGCGAACGGGUGAGUAACACGUGGGUGACCUGCCCCGCACUUCGGGAUAAGCCUGGGAAACUGGGUCUAAUACCGGAUAGGACCGCACCGUGAGGGUGUGGUGGAAAGUUUUUCGGUGUGGGAUGGGCCCGCGGCCUAUCAGCUUGUUGGUGGGGUAAUGGCCUACCAAGGCGGCGACGGGUAGCCGGCCUGAGAGGGUGGACGGCCACAUUGGGACUGAGACACGGCCCAGACUCCUACGGGAGGCAGCAGUGGGGAAUAUUGCACAAUGGGCGGAAGCCUGAUGCAGCGACGCCGCGUGGGGGAUGACGGCCUUCGGGUUGUAAACUCCUUUCACCAUCGACGAAGGUUUUCUGACGGUAGAUGGAGAAGAAGCACCGGCUAACUACGUG